rfam:Picea glauca, whole genome shotgun sequence.
ACAUGCCUACAAAACAUCGUUAAUGCACCAGAUCCAAUUAGAACUCCACAAUUAAGUGCACUCGAGGAUAGAGUAGUACUAGUAUGGGUGACCUCCCAAGAAGUCCUAGUGUUUUACAUGCC